UCUGCUCAGGACGAACGCUGGCGGCGUGCUUAACACAUGCAAGUCGAACGGAAAGGCCCGCUUGCGGGUACUCGAGUGGCGAACGGGUGAGUAACACGUGGGUGAUCUGCCCUGGACUCUGGGAUAAGCCUGGGAAACUGGGUCUAAUACCGGAUAUGACCUUACAUCGCAUGGUGUUUGGUGGAAAGCUUUUGCGGUUCAGGAUGGGCCCGCGGCCUAUCAGCUUGUUGGUGGGGUAAUGGCCUACCAAGGCGACGACGGGUAGCCGACCUGAGAGGGUGAUCGGCCACACUGGGACUGAGACACGGCCCAGACUCCUACGGGAGGCAGCAGUGGGGAAUAUUGCACAAUGGGCGCAAGCCUGAUGCAGCGACGCCGCGUGAGGGAUGACGGCCUUCGGGUUGUAAACCUCUUUCACCAGGGACGAAGCGCAAGUGACGGUACCUGGAGAAGAAGCACCGGCCAACUACGUGCCAGCAGCCGCGGUAAUACGUAGGGUGCGAGCGUUGUCCGGAAUUACUGGGCGUAAAGAGCUCGUAGGCGGUUUGUCGCGUCGUCUGUGAAAUUCUGCAACUCAAUUGUAGGCGUGCAGGCGAUACGGGCAGACUUGAGUACUACAGGGGAGACUGGAAUUCCUGGUGUAGCGGUGAAAUGCGCAGAUAUCAGGAGGAACACCGGUGGCGAAGGCGGGUCUCUGGGUAGUAACUGACGCUGAGGAGCGAAAGCGUGGGUAGCGAACAGGAUUAGAUACCCUGGUAGUCCACGCCGUAAACGGUGGGUACUAGGUGUGGGGCUCAUUUCACGAGUUCCGUGCCGUAGCUAACGCAUUAAAGUAACCCCCGGCA
rnacentral:rRNA from 1 species